GCGCCUGUAGCUCAGAGGAUAGAGCAAGGGAUUCCUAAUCCCUGUGUCGGGAGUUCGAAUCUCCCCAGGCGUACCA
rnacentral:tRNA from 1 species